UACAGAGGCCCCAAGCGUUAGGCGGAAUCACUGGGCUUAAAGCGUGUGUAGGCGGGUCGUUUAGUAACUUGUGAAAUCCCACGGCUUAACCGUGGAACCGCUUGGUAUACUGGCGGUCUUGAGCCACUUAGGGGCUACCGGAACAGAUGGUGGAGCGGUGAAAUGCGUAGAUAUCUGGAGGAACACCGGUGGCGAAGGCGGCGUCCUGGACCAACACUGACACUGAGGAGCGAAAGCCAGGGGAGCAAACGGG
rnacentral:rRNA from 1 species